ensembl:ncRNA F56E3.5 ncRNA
CUCAUCUUUUGCUCUUGUUCUUUCGUUUCUUUUUAUGGUGGAAUGAGUUGAGCCGAGUUCAGAAAGAAGCGCGGAAAAACGGGAGACGCGCGCAUCAGCAUAGUAGAUGUUCAUCAAUUGCAAAUGAGAAUGUUAAUGCUCGGCCGGGUUCACUGGCGCGGGGUGCACACGCCAAUGUAUCAUUCUGAAUGGUUUCGUAUCGUGCCCUUU